GACGAACGCUGGCGGCGUGCUUAACACAUGCAAGUCGAACGGAAAGGCCCUGCUUUUGUGGGGUGCUCGAGUGGCGAACGGGUGAGUAACACGUGAGUAACCUGCCCUUGACUUUGGGAUAACUUCAGGAAACUGGGGCUAAUACCGGAUAGGAGCUCCUGCUGCAUGGUGGGGGUUGGAAAGUUUCGGCGGUUGGGGAUGGACUCGCGGCUUAUCAGCUUGUUGGUGGGGUAGUGGCUUACCAACGCUUUGACGGGUAGCCGGCCUGAGAGGGUGACCGGCCACAUUGGGACUGAGAUACGGCCCAGACUCCUACGGGAGGCAGCAGUGGGGAAUAUUGCACAAUGGGCGGAAGCCUGAUGCAGCAACGCCGCGUGCGGGAUGACGGCCUUCGGGUUGUAAACCGCUUUCGCCUGUGACGAAGCGUGAGUGACGGUAAUGGGUAAAGAAGCACCGGCUAACUACGU
rnacentral:rRNA from 1 species